UCAAUGGAGUUUUUUAACUCCAUAAAUAAGAUUCAAUAAAUGACAU
rfam:Gossypium raimondii Chr06_contig_562, whole genome shotgun sequence.